rnacentral:rRNA from 1 species
UACAUUAAAAAUGUAGCCCAAGACUGGUUACCCACUGAAGCUAAGCAGGGCUGAGCCUGGUCAGUACCUGGAUGGGAGACCUCCUGGGAAAACUAGGUUGCUGCUGGAA